CCCCAUUUUACAAGCACUCAUUGGGCCUUUUGCCAGUGACCCACUGAGGUGUCAAAAAGAGCAGAUUAAAAAAUACUACUUUUGGGUGAAGUGGCAACAUCUCGUGUUGUUCAGCUUCAAUCAGUGAUGUGACAAAA
rnacentral:snoRNA from 1 species